AGGAUAACUGGCGGGAUUCAACUUUAGUGGCUGGACACUACUCACCCUGAGGCUGCUGCAGCUAAUCGACCCUGGAACAACUGACAAAAGUCAGCAGAAGGUCCUGGGGGUUCGGCUCGGAUUUGGCUCCGCCUCUGCAUGUAGGUCGCCGGAGGGCGUCUGUUCUUCACUCAGACAGGACCAGGUCCAGACUUUUCCCCGGACUCCAUCCUGGCUAGCCGUGGUGCACUAACCCCCUGCAGGCUGUGUUCACGCCACCAACCCCAGUCCUUUCCCUGCGCUCCGACAGAAGCCUGAGCCUCAGCUCCCAGCCCCGCCCGCCCCGGCGGGUGAGCAGACAAGCCUCUCAAGCUGAAAAAGAAGAGAAUACAAAGGCAGGCCUUUCACACAUGAAGCAAAAGGAAUAAAACCCUAAGUCCACUGGAAGGAAGAGAAGAGACGAAGAAUUCAAGGACAUAAUGGGCAAGAGGUGAGUCACGAGCAAUGAGCAAAC